rnacentral:rRNA from 1 species
CACGGGGUGAGUAAUAUAUAGUUAAUGUACCUCGAAGACCGGGAUAGCCAUUGGAAACGAUGAUUUAUACUGGAUAUACCUUUUAUACAUAAGUGUAAAUGGGAAAUGUUUUUUCGCUUCGAGAUCAGUCUAUAUCCCAUCAGUUAGUUGGUAGUGUAAUGGACUACCAAGGCAGUGACGGGUAGCGGGUUUGAGAGGAUGAUCCGCCACACUGGUACUGAGACACGGACCAGACUCCUACGGGAGGCAGCAGUGAGGAAUAAUGCACAAUGGAGGAAACUCUGAUGCAGCAACGCCGCGUGGAGGAUGACGCAUUUCGGUGUGUAAACUCCUUUUAUGAGCCAAGAUAAUGACGGUAGCUCAUGAAUAAGCACCGGCUAACUCCGUGCCAGCAGCCGCGGUAAUACGGAGGGUGCAAGCGUUACUCGGAAUCACUGGGCGUAAAGGACGCGUAGGCGGGUUGGAAAGUCAGGUGUGAAUCCUACAGCUUAACUGUAGAACUGCACUUGAAACUUCUAACCUAGAGUAUGGGAGGGGGAGAUGGAAUUAGUGGUGUAGGGGUAAAAUCCGUAGAUAUCACUAGGAAUACCCAAAGCGAAGGCGAUCUCCUGGAACAUAACUGACGCUAAGGCGUGAAAGCGUGGGGAGCAAACGGGAUUAGAUACCCCGGUAGUCCACGCCCUAAACGAUGAACACUAGUCGUCGUGAUGCUUGUCAUUGCGGUGAUGCACUUAACAGAUUAAGUGUUCCGCCUGGGGAGUACGGUCGCAAGAUUAAACUCAAAGGAAUAGACGGGGACCCGCACAA